rnacentral:rRNA from 1 species
AACGAACGCUGGCGGCAGGCUUAGCACAUGCAAGUCGAACGCCCCGCAAGGGGAGUGGCAGACGGGUGAGUAACGCGUGGGAACAUACCCUUUCCUGCGGAAUAGCUCCGGGAAACUGGAAUUAAUACCGCAUACGCCCUACGGGGGAAAGAUUUAUCGGGGAAGGAUUGGCCCGCGUUGGAUUAGCUAGUUGGUGGGGUAAAGGCCUACCAAGGCGACGAUCCAUAGCUGGUCUGAGAGGAUGAUCAGCCACAUUGGGACUGGGACACGGCCCAAACUUCUACGGGAGGCAGCAGUGGGGAAUAUUGGACAAUGGGCGCAAGCCUGAUCCAGCCAUGCCGCGUGAGUGAUGAAGGCCUUAGGGUUGUAAAGCUCUUUCACCGAUGAAGAUAAUGACAGUAGUCGGAGAAGAAGCCCCGGCUAACUUCGUGCCAGCCGCCGCGGUAACAC